rnacentral:rRNA from 1 species
UGGGGAAUAUUGCACAAUGGGCGAAAGCCUGAUGCAGCAACGCCGCGUGAGCGAUGAAGGCCUUUGGGUCGUAAAGCUCUGUCCUAGGGGAAGAAUAAAUGACGGUACCCUUGGAGGAAGCCCCGGCUAACUACGUGCCAGCAGCCGCGGUAAUACGUGGGGGGCAAGCGUUAUCCGGAAUUAUUGGGCGUAAAGAGUGCGUAGGUGGUUUUGUAAGCGCGGGGUGAAAGGCAAUAGCUCAACUAUUGUAAGCCCUGCGAACUGUGGGACUUGAGUGCAGGAGAGGAAAGCGGAAUUCCUAGUGUAGCGGUGAAAUGCGUAGAUAUUAGGAGGAACACCAGUGGCGAAGGCGGCUUUCUGGACUGUAACUGACACUGAGGCACGAAAGCGUGGGGAGCAAACA